rnacentral:rRNA from 1 species
GGAGAUGUGGGUGCAGAGGCUGGGGUAAGGCGGGGGUCCCAGAGGGUGUGUGGAUGCACUGGGCGGAAAGGGUGCGUGGGGGGUCGGGUAAGUCGGAUGGGAAAGCGCGGAGCGUAACUGCGGAACGGCAUUGGUGACGAUUCGGCUGGAGGAGUGGAGGGGAGACUGGAAUUCUCGGUGUAGCAGUGAAAUGCGUAGAUAUCGAGAGGAACACCUGUGGCGAAGGCGAGUCUCUGGACACUUCCUGACGCUGAGGCACGAAAGCCAGGGGAGCAAACGGGAUUAGAUACCCUUGUAGUC